CAAACGUGGAGGCGAGCACAUUACGGCAGCACAAACUAUUUACUUACAAAAGCAUCGCAUGUGCCUUCGGUUCCAUACCUCGUGGAGCUUGUGAGAGUGCUGAUGUUGUCCCUUUCAGCGCACUCGUCGUCCACAUCGUCACCAAAGGUUUACCUCACGUCAAAUCCUAAUAGGACUACAAAGACCGUGUACAUAACCCUCGGAAAAGUUCUUGACAUAUGGCAUCAGGUUAUGAGAAGAAGGAUAACAUGUGAUCUGAUCACAGAGGAGAGAAAACCACUCUUGAUGAGGCAAAGAAACUUGGUGGAGCCUUGUUUGGAGUCUCCCUCGGCCGCUCCUUUCACAAGGAAGUUAAUGAUGCUGGAAAGAAGAUGAAUCACCUCAAACAACAGGCAGAGCGGCUCUGACAAGUGUGCACCGGCGAGUGUGACACCUGCAACUAGCUGAAGAAAGACUAAUAGUCAUGUCAGCUGCUACGUGCAGGAGCUGAGCUAUGCCUGCUGCAACAAACUGUACCCGCGAGACCACGAGUCCUGUUGCCUGAUGACAGUAAU